UCUACAGAUCGUGAGUACAGCUACAUUUGUUGCGUUAUAUAUAUAUAUAUAUAUAUAUAUAUAGUCAGGUCCAUAAAUAUUGGGACAUCGACACAAUUCUAAUCUUUUUGGCACCACCAUGCUUCACUGAUGAGGUGGUAUGCUUUGGAUCAUGAGCAGUUCCUUUCCUUCUCCAUACUGUUCUCUUCCCAUCACUCUGGUACAAGUUGAUCUUGGUCUCAUCUGUCCAUAGAACUGUGAAGGCUUUUUUAGAUGUUGUUUGGCAAACUCUUAUCUGGCCUUCCUGUUUUUGAGGCUCACCAAUGGUUUACAUCUUGUGGUGAACCCUCUGUAUUCACUCUGGUGAAGUCUUCUCUUGAUUGUUGACUUUGACACACAUACACCUACCUCCUGGAGAGUGUUCUUGAUCUGGCCAAUUGUUGUGAAUGGUAUUUUCUUCAUCAUGGAAAGAAUUCUUCGGUCAUCCACCAAAGUUGUUUUCCAUGGUCUUCCGGGUAUUUUGGUGUUGCUGAGCUCACCGGUGCGUUUUUUCUUUUUAGGGAUGUUGUAAACAGUUGAUUUGGCCAUACCUAAUGUUUUUGCUAUGUCUCUGAUGGGUUUGUUUUGUUUUUUCAGCCUAAUGAUGGCUUGCUUCACUGAUAGUGACAGCUCUUUGUAUCUCAUAUUGAGAUUUGACAGCAACAGAUUCCAAAUGCAAAUAACACAUUUGAAAUUAACUCUGGACCUUUUAUCUGCUCCUUGUAAAUGGGAUAAUGAGGGCAUAACACACACCUGGCCAUGGAACAGCUGAGCAGCCAAUUGUCCCAUUACUUUUGGUCCCUUAAAAAGUGGGAGGCACAUAUACAAACUGUUGUAAUUCCUACACCAUUCACCUGAUUUGGAUGUAAAUACCCUCAAAUUAAAGCUGAAAGUCUGCAGUUAAAGCACAUCUUCUUCAUUUCAUUUAAAAUCCUUUGUGGUGCUGUAUAGAGCCAAAAAGAUUAGAAUUGUGUCGAUGUCCCAAUAUUUAUGGACCUGACUGGAUAUACUUUCAAUCCACCAAUCAGAGAGUUAUGAGUCAAAUUACACAGCAUGGGAAAAUUCCAAAGAACUUUCCCACGCUGUGUAAAAUGACAUAGAGCACUCUGAUUGGUGGAUUUCAAGCCAACCAAUCAGAGUGCUGUGACAGAUAAAUGUAGAGACUUACCUGUCAGUCUCUUCAUUUACCUGUCAGAGCACUCUGAUUGGAUGGCUUAAACCCACCGAUCAGAGUGCUCUGAACCUAAUUGCAGGGCGGUGCAAGGCUUUAUAAGCCUUCCCCUGCC